rnacentral:rRNA from 1 species
AUUGAACGCUGGCGGCAUGCCUUACCCAUGCAAGUCGAACGGCAGCACGGGAGCAAUCCUGGUGGCGAGUGGCGAACGGGUGAGUAAUAUAUCGGAACGUGCCCAGUCGUGGGGGAUAACGUAGCGAAAGCUACGCUAAUACCGCAUACGAUCUACGGAUGAAAGCGGGGGAUCGCAAGACCUCGCGCGAUUGGAGCGGCCGAUAUCAGAUUAGGUAGUUGGUGAGGUAAAGGCUAACCAAGCCGACGAUCUGUAGCUGGUCUGAGAGGACGACCAGCCACACUGGGACUGAGACACGGCCCAGACUCCUACGGGAGGCAGCAGUGGGGAAUUUUGGACAAUGGGCGCAAGCCUGAUCCAGCAAUGCCGCGUGCAGGAUGAAGGCCUUCGGGUUGUAAACUGCUUUUGUACGGAACGAAACGGUGAGCUCUAAUACAGUUUGCUAAUGACGGUACCGUAAGAAUAAGCACCGGCUAACUACGUGCCAGCCGCCGCCGUAA